rnacentral:rRNA from 1 species
UACGUAGGGCGCAAGCGUUAUCCGGAAUUAUUGGGCGUAAAGAGCUCGUAGGCGGUUUGUCGCGUCUGCCGUGAAAGUCCGGGGCUCAACUCCGGAUCUGCGGUGGGUACGAGCAGACUAGAGUGAUGUAGGGGGAGACUGGAAUUCCUGGUGUAGCGGUGAAAUGCGCAGAUAUCAGGAGGAACACCGAUGGCGAAGGCAGGUCUCUGGGGCAUUAACUGACGCUGAGGAGCGAAAAGCAUGGGGGAGCGAACAGG